rnacentral:rRNA from 1 species
AUACGGAGGAUCCGAGCGUUAUCCGGAUUUAUUGGGUUUAAAGGGUGCGCAGGCGGGAGAUUAAGUCGGCGGUGAAAAUUUGCAGCUCAACUGUAAAAGGGCCUUCGAAACUGGUUUCCUUGAGGGUAGAUGAAGGAAGCGGAAUUUGUGGUGUAGCGGUGUAAUGCAUAGAUAUCACGAGGAACUCCGAUUGAGCAGGCAGCUUACUAAACUACUACUGACGCUCAGGCACGAAGGCGUGGGGAUCAAACAGGAUUAGAUACCCUGGUAGUCCACGCAGUAAACGAUGAUUACUAGCUGUUUGCGAUACAAUGUAAGCGGCUGAGCGAAAGCGUUAAGUAAUCCACCUGGGGAGUACGUUCGCAAGAAUGAAACUCAAAGGAAUCGACGGGG